GGAGCCGAUCCUAAGAGAUAGGGUAGUUCCGUAUGAAAGUGCGCGAUUCUUCGCGCCGCCUAUCGAAAGGGAAGCCGGUUAAAAUUCCGGCGCCAGGAUGUGGAUGAUAGACGGCAACGUAAACGAACCAGGAGACGUCGGCGAGGGCCCUGGAAAGAGUUAUCUUUUCUUUCUUACAGUCUGUCACCCUGAAAUCGAUUUGUUCGGAGAUAGGGUUCCAUGGCUGGUAGAGCUCGGCACUUCUGCCGGGUC
rnacentral:rRNA from 1 species